CAGUAGCCGCGGUAAUACGAAGGGGGCUAGCGUUGCUCGGAAUCACUGGGCGUAAAGGGUGCGUAGGCGGGUCUUUAAGUCAGGGGUGAAAUCCUGGAGCUCAACUCCAGAGCUGCCUUUGAUACUGAAGAUCUUGAGUUCGGGAGAGGUGAGUGGAACUGCGAGUGUAGAGGUGAAAUUCGUAGAUAUUCGCAAGAACACCAGUGGCGAAGGCGGCUCACUGGCCCGAUACUGACGCUGAGGCACGAAAGCGUGGGGAGCAAACAGGAUUAGAGACCCCGGUAGUCCCUGUCUCUUAUAC
rnacentral:rRNA from 1 species